UGGGGAAUCUUGCACAAUGGGGGAAACCCUGAUGCAGCGACGCCGCGUGAGCGAUGAAGGUUUUCGAAUCGUAAAGCUCUGUCCUAUGGGAAGAUAAUGACGGUACCAUGGGAGGAAGCCCCGGCUAACUACGUGCCAGCAGCCGCGGUAAUACGUAGGGGGCGAGCGUUGUCCGGAAUUACUGGGCGUAAAGGGUUCGCAGGCGGCAUGGCAAGUCCGAUGUAAAAGGCGAAGGCUCAACCUUCGUAAGCAUCGGAAACUGUCAAGCUUGAGUGAAGGAGAGGCAAGUGGAAUUCCUAGAGUAGCGGUGGAAUGCGUAGAUAUUAGGAGGAAUACCGGUGGCGAAGGCGACUUGCUGGACUUCAACUGACGCUGAGGAACGAAAGCGUGGGUAGCAAACAGG
rnacentral:rRNA from 1 species